rnacentral:rRNA from 1 species
UGCUGCGUAGCUGUACGUGACGUCUGUCAUGAAUUCGCGUGGCUCACCUCUGGGAAUGGCGUGUCGAAGCGUAGUACUUAUAGUAUGGGACGACGAUGCUGGAGAUUCUCUGGUGUAGCAGAUGAACUAGUGUUGAGUAUGUUGAAGAACCAUCAGUAGCAGAAGUACCGUCAUCCUGUCCCAUCACUGACGCUGACGUGCCGAAAGCGUGGGGAUGCAAACAGGAUGAGAUACCCUGGUAGUCCACUCCCUUCAGCGAUGAAUGCUAUAUGUUUGGUGCACUAGCGAAUUGAGUGUCGUAGCUAACGCGAUAAGUACUCCGCCUGGGAAGUACGGCCGCAAGGUUAAAACUCAAAGGAAUUGACGGGGGCCCGCACAAGCGGUGGAGCAUGUGGUUUAAUUCGAUGCAACGCGAAGAACGUUACCUGCGCAUGACAUGUCCGGAAUUCAGCAGAGAUGCGGGUGUUUCCUUCGGGGAAUCCCGUACACAGCUGCUGCAUGGCUGUCGUCAGCUUGUGUCGUGAGAUGUUGGGUUUUGUCCCGCAAAGAGCGCAAUCCUUGUCCUUAGUUGCCUGCGGUACGGUCGGGCACUCUAGGGAAACUUCCGGUCACAAACCGGAGGAAGGUGGGGAUGACGUCAAGUCGUCAUGGCCUUUAUGUCCAGGUCUCAGACGUGCUACAAUGGCGCGUACAGAGGGAAGCCAAGCCGCGAGGUGGAGCAGUCCCCAGAAACCGCGUCGUAGUUCGGAGGGCAGUCUCCAACUCGACUUCAUGAAGUCGGACUCGCUAGUACUCGCGGAUCAACAUGCCGCUGAUAACGCGUUUAAAGGGCCUAUACACACCGCCCGUCACCCCAUGGGAGUGUCAUCUACCUAGAAGCAGCUAGCACCCGUUCCGGGUAGCAGGCGUGGU